rnacentral:rRNA from 1 species
UGCUCGAGUGGCGAACGGGUGAGUAACACGUGAGUAACCUGCCCUUGACUUUGGGAUAACUUCAGGAAACUGGGGCUAAUACCGGAUAGGAGCUCCUGCUGCAUGGUGGGGGUUGGAAAGUUUCGGCGGUUGGGGAUGGACUCGCGGCUUAUCAGCUUGUUGGUGGGUAGUGGCUUACCAAGGCUUUGACGGGUAGCCGGCCUGAGAGGGUGACCGGCCACAUUGGGACUGAGAUACGGCCCAG